GUAAUCUUCAGCAGAUUCAAUGUUCACCACGAAUUCUUCCGCUAUCCAUAAACUUACUAAUUUAGACACUGGAAUUCUUGCAUCCUCCGGAAACAUCCCCAUAUAAAGAAGACAAGGCUUUAAACGAUGGGGUAAGUUAUCAAAACUCAACUGCAUAGUCGCACGACUAUAUUCUUCCGACUCACGAUCAAGAUAGUCAAAUAAAGCAUCCUUAACCUCAAUCCACCAAGAUUCUUCCAUUUUCCUUUUUUUGAUUAUUCCAGCUACCAAGACAACCACUAGGGGCAGUCCUUUGCAUUUUUCUGCAACUGCUUGACUCACAUCUUGUAGUUCAGGCGGGAAAUCUUCCUUUUGAAACACUUUUUUCUGCAACAAUUCACAACUCUCUUCUUUUGUGAGGAAUGGAAGAGAAUAAGGAUCAG